CACGUAGGGCGCAAGCGUUGCUCGGAAUCACUGGGCGUAAAGCGCACGUAGGCGGAUUGCUAAGUCAGGGGUGAAAUCCUGGAGCUCAACUCCAGAACUGCCUUUGAUACUGGCGACCUUGAGUCCGGGAGAGGUGAGUGGAACUGCGAGUGUAGAGGUGAAAUUCGUAGAUAUUCGCAAGAACACCAGUGGCGAAGGCGGCUCACUGGCCCGGUACUGACGCUGAGGUGCGAAAGCGUGGGGAGCAAACAGG
rnacentral:rRNA from 1 species